GAUGAACGCUGGCGGCGUGCCUAAUACAUGCAAGUCGAGCGAACGGACGAGAAGCUUGCUUCUCUGAUGUUAGCGGCGGACGGGUGAGUAACACGUGGAUAACCUACCUAUAAGACUGGGAUAACUUCGGGAAACCGGAGCUAAUACCGGAUGAUAUUUUGAACCGCAUGGUUCAAAAGUGAAAGACGGUCUUGCUGUCACUUAUAGAUGGAUCCGCGCUGCAUUAGCUAGUUGGUAAGGUAACGGCUUACCAAGGCAACGAUGCAUAGCCGACCUGAGAGGGUGAUCGGCCACACUGGAACUGAGACACGGUCCAGACUCCUACGGCAGGCAGCAGUAGGGAAUCUUCCGCAAUGGGCGAAAGCCUGACGGAGCAACGCCGCGUGAGUGAUGAAGGUCUUCGGAUCGUAAAACUCUGUUAUUAGGGAAGAACAUAUGUGUAAGUAACUGUGCACAUCUUGACGGUACCUAAUCAGAAAGCCACGGCUAACUACGUG
rnacentral:rRNA from 1 species